rnacentral:ncRNA from 2 species
AUCUUUGCCGCCGAUUUUGGUAUCGCAGCCCCACCCGCUUCGGAGGCCGCGAUGAAAAGGGAACCAGGUGAAAGUCCUGGACAGACCCGCUGCUGUGAGUCCCCGCCAUGAAGAAUCCUUGGAAAACCCCAAGCCACUGUCCCCUACCAACGGAGGGAUGGGAAGGCAUCCAGGGAUUGGGACAAGUCAGAAGACCUGCCAGAAUCUGCCAACGUUU